rnacentral:lncRNA from 1 species
AAUCUUUCAUUAAUGGUCCAUGAUCUUAGGCCUCUCUUUGAACUCUGUAGCUCGCCCUUUGUUCAACAACAUACUCUCUCUUUUGAAUCACCAGUUUUUUGAUGCCUCUUUUUUUUUAGCUUGACGACGUCGUUCCUCCUUCAAUUUUGCCAUUACUGCUCUCACCCGCUGCUUAGCAUUAUGAACUUGUUUCUCGCAGUUUAGGUAAGGAGGAAUUAACUUGAAUGGCAACUUGAUGGUCUUAACCCUCUUCUUGACCAAUUUGGCUAAGGGAAUCUUUCAUUAAUAGUCCAUGAUCUCGGGCAUCUCUCCAAACGAACAGCGUUGCCCCAAGUGACCCUUGCAUGAAGCAUUUCAGUAAAGGACUCUUCCUCAGAAGAUCUGCAAUGUGGUAAGAGAUGCAGGUGUUGGCGACCCUCAUAGGAUACCCAAAUUAUUUUUUCUUUCUUUUUUCUUUUUUUUCUUUCUUCUUUCUGUUUUUUUUUCUUUUGUUUCUUUUCUCUUCUUUUUUUGUUUGUUUUUUUUUUGUUUUUGACACACACACAACAAUGGAUAUCCAUGAGGGGAACAAUAGGGUAAUUCCUGCAACAACGUGCGAUACAUGAUAUUUGCUACCAAUAGACAUGCCAUUUAAACUUUUCCUCAUCUGAGCCUGCAUAGAGCUGCGUUCAUUCAUUUGCCCCUUUCAUCUUUGGUUUACAUUGCAGUAAUUUACUCACGGGACAUAUGGCAUUCAAAGUACCCCUACUCGUGCGAAAGAUGAACCACAUAGGGAACACUAGUAAACAACAUAACAUCUUCCCGACCUUUAGCUCAUGGCACUGAUUAAGAGUCCCGUAAAUUUCAGUUAGG